GCUAGGUGUGGGGAGCACAGCAAAAAUUAGCAUAGUUAGUCACUAUAUCUAGCUAGCGAAAGACUCGAGAGAGGAAAGCAAUUCACAAUCGCGGAUGCUUCCGCCCCACCUAAUAUCUGCUCGUAUAGGCAACUUGUGAGCAUGAUUUUCGGCGGCCAUAAUUAUUUUCGAUGGUCAAAGCUCGGCCGCCAUAAAUAACCUUAUUUUCGGUGGCUAGUGACACGGCCACCGGAAAUAACUGACACGAUCAUAAAAAAUAACUGUUUAUUUUCGCCGGUUGUGCCCUGUUCGCUGAAAAUACGUCUUUUUAAAAUGCGGUCGCCUUUCUUUCUUUCUCUUUCUUCCCCGUUUCUUCCUCUGCUCGACGCUGCGCGCCCCCUACGACCAAGCGCCGCCCUCGGCACCCGUCGCCCGACCGCCGCCGAGCCCUCCUCCUACCACCGUUCCGCCGCCGCCGUCGAGCCCAUCUCCAUGAAAAGUUGCUUCGUUACCAGAAAAGCUUUGAUAUAAAUCAAGGGAAGUACGAUGAAGCAAGCUUCGUCACGAUGAAGCAGGAAGGCGGCGUAGGGAGAAGGUGUUGUUCAAGUUGUUGAGUGCAAAUGACAAUACUGUCCCUGUGACAUUUGUAAACCAUUGUAUGUAAAGGGUAUGAAUGUAAUAACGUACGAAGUUGUACGAUUGCCUAUAAAUAGGUGAAUAGUACCAUUACUAUUCACGCUGGAUUGUAAUUGUACUCACGUCGUUACCUUCAAGCAAGUCGAAUGUAUCAAUACAAUACAAACUUUGAUAGUAUCAAUAUAUUCAUUAUGAUAUAAAUA